rnacentral:rRNA from 1 species
ACUCAAAGGAAUAGACGGGGACCCGCACAAGCAGCGGAGCGUGUGGUUUAAUUCGAUGCGACGCGAAGCACCUUACCUGGGUUCAAUUGGAAAUGCACCGGGGGUAAUGCCCCGUCCGCGCAAGCGGCGUUUCUGACGGUGCUGCAUGGCUGUCGUCAGCUCGUGCCGUGAGGUGUUGGGUUAAGUCCCCUAACGAGCGCAACCCCCGUGGACGGUUAUACCUCCGUUCAGACUGCCGCGCACAACGCGGAGGAAGGUGGGGAUGACGUCAAGUCAGCACGGCCCUUACGCCCAGGGCAACACACACGCUACAAUGGUCGGGACAGCGGGCAGCGACACGGCGACGUGAAGCGAAUCCCUUAAACCCGGCCUCAGUUCGGAUGGUAGGCUGCAACUCGCCUGCCUGAAGUCGGAGUUGCUAGUAACCGCAGGUCAGCACACUGCGGUGAAUACGUUCCCGGGUCUUGCACACACCGCCCGU